rnacentral:misc_RNA from 1 species
AUUUCUAGCAUUUAUGAAGUAUAUUUUAUAGUUUAUUAGCACUUUUUUGAUAUAAUAUAAAUACUAUAUAACAUAAUUAUAAAGCUCAAAAAAGACUCAAAUUUAUCUUUUUUGGGUUUAGGUUAGGGUUAAAUAUGUAACAUAAUACUAUAUUAUGUUAUACAAAAUGAAAGGAAACUUAUAUGAAACUUACAAAAGAUAAUUUUUUAGAUAAUUUAGACUUUUGGCUUGAGGCUUAUUUUUCUCAUUUUAAAGCUUUAAAUUAUUCAAAUAAUACAAUUAUGCUUUAUGAGAGGGUUUUAAAUGAAUUUAGAGAGUAUUCUUUAGAUUUUCAGGACGAAAUAGAAUUUAAAGAGAUAAAAAGUGCAUAUAUUUUGAA